rnacentral:tRNA from 2 species
GGAGAGGUGGCCGAGUGGCCGAAGGCGCUCCCCUGCUAAGGGAGUAACGAGUUUAUAGCUUGUUCGAGGGUUCGAAUCCCUCCUUCUCCGCCA